rnacentral:rRNA from 1 species
GUGGAUUAGAUACCCGGGUAGUCCACGCCGUAAACGAUGGAUACUAGCUGUUCGGAGCAAUCUGAGUGGCUAAGCGAAAGUGAUAAGUAUCCCACCUGGGGAGUACGUUCGCAAGAAUGAAACUCAAAGGAAUUGACGGGGGCCCGCACAAGCGGUGGAGCAUGUGGUUUAAUUCGAUGAUACGCGAGGAACCUUACCAAGGCUUAAAUGUAGAUUGACAGGACUGGAAACAGUUUUUUCUUCGGACAAUUUACAAGGUGCUGCACGGCCGUCGCCAACU